CUCAUUAUGUGUAAAUAACACACACGUAUCGACACAUACGCCGGGGUGCCUGCGAAGAGCGUUAUCGCUGUUCAGGGUCGGUUGUAUGGGAUAUGUGGAGGCCCAAC
rnacentral:sRNA from 1 species